UUGACAGCCCUGGGGACAGGAGCCCUCUGUUUACCCACAGAGGAAAGGACAGCAUGAGAAGUAGCAGUGCAAGCUAGGGCUGCCGCCCAUCCAGGUUUUUACCUGAACAGUCUGUUUUUUGGCUUCUGUGUCCUGGUGCCAUUUAGGCUUGCCAGGU
rnacentral:sRNA from 1 species